CCUCACCCACCUACUGCAGAUUCACACUUUACCUCGCAGUUUUUAGGUACAGCUCGAUUAUCCUCUUCACCUACUCUGGGCAUAGAAGGCUUGGGCAUCCCUGUUCCUUUGUUCUUGAGGUUGUUAUGCGCAAUUGUAACAUUCCUUUUGCUAGGAAAAAUAUAUCGAAUGUUUGUUCAGCUUGCCAGUUAGGCAAUGCACAUAAGCUGCCCUUUAAUGCUUCUAGCACAGUGUACUCAAAACCUUUUGAAUUAGUAGAAUCUGAUAUUUGGGGUCCUUCCCAUAUUAAAUCAAAUGGUUUUCUCUAAUAUGUUUCGUUCGUAGAUAUGUACAGUAGAUAUACCUGAGUCUACUUUCUAAAGUCAAAAGCAAAAGUGUUUCAGUGUUUUCUACAGUUCAAUCAAAUGGUCCGUGUUCAGUUUGGUGGUUCCAUUAAAAUGCUUCAGUCUGACUAGGGAGGCGAAUAUCGUUCACUAUCUCAGGAACUAGCUAGUCUUGGCAUCAAGCAUAGGGUUACUUGCCCUCAUACUUCAGAGUAAAACAGGGUGAUUAGAAGAAAGCAUCGACAAAUAGUUGAUAUGGGACUGACACUUCUAGCUCAAGCAGGUUUCUCUUUGUAAUUCUGGUCAUAUGCUUUUGCACAUGGUAUUUACUUGAUUAAUAGGUUGCCAACACCUGUUCUAAAACAAUGAAGCCCUUAUGAAGUGUUGUAUAAAGUAAAACCAUCUUACUCAUAUUUUAAAGUGUUUGGCUGUACCUGUUAUCCGUGUUUGCGACCUUAUCAUCCCAAAAAACUACAGUUUCGGUCCAGUUUAUGCAUUUUUCUUGGUAUUGGGCUAAAUCAAAAAGGCUAUAGGUACCUUGACAGGAGUGGUCAAAUGUUUGUCUCUCGGCAUGUUACAUUUGAUGAGGACCAUUUUCUAUUCCAACAUGAGUUCUCUUCUGAGAGGCCAGCCCGGGUAGUUCAUCAUCAGUCUGCUCUUCCUAUGGUGGUCAAAGGCUUUUCUCUAGAAUAUAAUAUCUUGGCACAUGAGGUAGGUCCUGGUCGGUCACCAUCUGUUGUGGAUUCUUCAGUUCAACAGACUGCUUCUCCACUAUCUCCAGGCUCCUCUCUGACUCCUGGUCUCUUGGCACAUACAUCUGGUCCUGAUCAAUCAUUAGUUGUGCCUGGUUCUUGUCCUUCUCCAACAUGCUCCUCGUCUCCUUCCAGGUAGAUUCAGCCUAUUGUUAAUACACAUCUGAUGCAGACUCGGUCCAAAAGUGAGAUCUUCAAGCCCAAACUAUUUACUUCUGCCCUCUCUGAUCAUGAGCCUACUUCUAUUGUUGAAGCACUUCAAAGCCCUACGUAGACAGCAGCUGCUCGUGCUGAAUACACUGCAUUCUUUGCCAACCACACUUGAGACCUUGUGCCUUUACCUGCUGGAAGAAAAGCAGUGGGUUACAAGUGGAUUUUUAAAGUCAAACGCAAUGUUGAUGGGUCUGUCGCUUGGUACAAAGGGAGAUUGGUGGUCAAGGGAUAUCUCCAAGAAACUGAUAUUAAUUUUCGAGAUACUUUUAGCCCUGUUGUUAAGCCGACAACUAUUCGAGUGAUGUUGGCUCUUGCUGUCUCGUUUGGGUGGUCCCUUCUCCAAGUUGACAUCAACAAUGCUUUCCUGAAUAGUGAUUUAAAAGAAGAAAUUUACAUGGUUCAACCAUCAGGGUUUCAACAACAAGGGGACAAGGGUCAACAGUUAGUGUGUCGAUUGAGGAAAGCACUCUAUGGCCUCAAACAAGCCCGUCAGGUUUGGUUUCAUAAGCUUAAGGAAUUUCUAGUGGCUACUAGGUUUGUUGCCUCUAAAGCUGACACUUCUCUCUUCGUUUACCAAUCAGGUUCCCAACUCAUGUAUGUUUUAAUCUAUAUAGAUGACAUUAUAAUUACAGGGAACAACAACCAAGCUAUAGAUCAGUUUGUGCGGCAGCUUGAUGAGACUUUUUCAUUAAAAGAUCUUGGUCGCCUUAGCUACUUCCUAGGCAUUGAAGUCCAGUACACCACCACUGGUUUAUUUCUUAACCAAAGGAAGUACAUACUGGAUCUGUUGCGACGAGCGUAUAUGGAGGGAUCUAAAGCUACACCUACACCUAUGACAACAACAUGUCAGUUGUUCGCCAGUGAAGGACAACCUGUUGCAUAUGCUCAUGUGUACAGGAGCAUUGUAGGGGUACUGCAGUAUGUGGUGAUUACCAUACCCGACAUUGCCUUUGCCGUCAACAAAGUGUGCCAAUUCAUGCACAAUCCUUUGGACAUCCACUUCAAAGCUAUCAAGAGAGUCCUACAUUAUUUGCAUGGGACCUUGGAUCUUGGACUACAGUUUAUAAAGAGCUCGAAGCUCUUGCUUGAAGGGUUUUCAGAUGCUAGCUGGGGUCUGACAUUAAUGAUCGCCAUCACACAUCUGGUUACUGUGUUUUUUUUGGAGGAAGUCCAAUUUCCUUGAGCUUUAGGAAACAGCAGGUGGUCUCUCGGUCGACUGCCAAAGCUGAAUACAAAAGUCUCGCCCAUGUUACUGCUGAGAUGGUGUUGAUCUAGUCGUUGUUGAUCGAGUUAGGUGUUUCUCCUUGUGGCAAAGCACUAGUGUGGUGUGACAGUUUAACAGCCGUGGCAGUUGCAGGAAACCCAGUCAUGCACUCGAAAUUCAAGCACGUGGAAUUAGACCUCUUUUUUGUGAGGGAGAAGGUUGCACAAGGCUUAUUUCAGGUGGGUCAUGUACCAAGCCAAGAGCAGUUGCAGACAUGCUGACCAAACCUUUAGCAGCAAGUCUGUUCAACAAGUUUCGAAAUCAGCUUCGAGUGACAACUGGUCAAGUUACUAUAGUUGAGAAGAAAGGAACAAGUUCGGGGCAUGUUAGGGUUAAGGAGUUAGAAAUUAGUCAGUUAGCUAAAGCAAUUGUUAACUGUCAAGUUAGUUAGUGCUAUUCUCAUUCUCUUCCAUCUAUUAAAGACUUGUACUCUCACAUUAAUGAAUAGUGAAAGUAGUAUGAAGUUUAUUCAGCUUCUAGUGUGCUCUUGACAAUACGGAAAAAUAGAACAACAUAGUUUACGUGAGAAUUUACAAGGAGAGAAAUAAAAUCAAUUCAUGUUAACUCAAUUUGAAUUCAUCAAUUUUGCAUCUCCGAAGCCUAAGGGCAAAGCCAGAAAUUAUUUUGGGAGAGGCGGAAUUAAAUUGUAUAUUUUUACGAUUACUUAUAUAUAUAUUAUUUUUAUAAUUUUGGAGGUAAAGUGCAAUUUUACUAUUACUAAUUUAAAAUUUUAUAAAUUAUAAAGGGGCCUAAAUAAAAAAAAUCAUUUUAAGGGGGCCAAGGCCAUUGCCAACCCCCUAGCUUCACCAUUAACAGAGUCUCUGUAAUGACCCAAAAUUCAUGGGUAUCGAAAAAGUGCAAUAUCGGGCCUCUGUCUUAGUAAACUGAAUUAGUAAAUAAUUAUUAGGAGUAAUUAGGAGCCUAAUAGUGAGCUUAAUUAAGUUUUAAAUAAGUGAAUUUAGCUUAAUUAAUAGUAAUUAGGAAAAAAAGACUAAAUUGAAUAAGGGGUAAAAGUCUAACUAUAGAUUAAAAAGGAAAUAACAAGGACGCAAUAGGCAAUUAAGCCUAUUUGGGAAGAUGAGGCGGCAAAAUAGAGUAAAAAUCUAAGAUUUUUACUCAAACAAUGAUUAUAUAAAUAUUUAAUUUAGUUAUAAAAUUUUAUUAAAUCAAUUUAAAAUAAUUAGAUUUUUAUAUGAUAAAUAAAAUAUGAUUUUGACAAGUGGAUGGUGAUAACAAUAUACAAAUGUAAUAAUAAUAUGUAUACAAUUGUAACAUAAAUAUUUAAUUACUUUUUAUUUAAGUAAAUAGAUAUUUAUUACUUAUUAUUAUUAAGCUAAAAGAUAUUUAUUAAUUAAAUAAUUAUAUUAUAAGAUUUUUAUGUGAUAAAUAAAUUAAAUAAUGACAAAUGUAUGGAGAUGAGACCAUACAUUUAUAAUAAAUAUAAAUAUGUACACUUGUUAUAUAAUUAUUAAUUUACUUAAUAUUAAAGUAAAAGAUAUUUUAAUAUAUGAUAUUAAUAUUAUAUUAUGUUAAUAAAAUAAUAAAGCAUAAAAGAAAUAAGAAACAAAGAUAGAAAAGAAGAACAAAAUAACAAACAGGAAAGAAAGGAAGAAAAGGGGAAAGAAAAAAAGAAAAGGAAAAACUAGGGAUUUGAAGCUUUAAGCUUUAAAAGUUAAUAAGGAACCCGAGGCAUCGGCAUCGAAAGGAAAGAAAAAAGUUGUUGAGGAGUAAACGAAUAAAUUCGGGUUUGUAUUACUAUAAUUCAAGUUAUUCAUUAUUUAAUGUUUAUUUUGAUAUUUAUAUUUAAUAAGUAAAUAUGACAGAAGUAUUAGUAUUGAAUUGUAUGAAAUAAAAUUGAAUUGUGAUUAUAUGUGAAUAAUUGAAAUGCAUAUUGAAUUAAGAAAGUAUAUUGAAUUAUGAAUAUGUGAAUUGAAAAUUGAUUGAAAAGUGGAAAAUGAUUGAAUUGAAAAUGUGAGAAAUUGUGACUGAAUUGAGAUUUAUAUGUGAUUCGGAAACCCUAUUAACUAAUCAGGUUGAGUCGGAUAUAGUUGGCAUGCCAUAGGAUUGGAAGUGUUCAAGGAUACUUCGACCUCGAGUCGAUGGUGUCACUAUUUUACUUCGGAUAGAUUCGAUGAGGUACUGGGUACCACUUUACUUUGGCUCUACCGAUGAGACACUGGGUGUCAACUUUGCUUCAAACUAUCCGAUGAGGCACUGCGUGCCAAACUGAUGUGUUUGGUUGGAUAUGUGUAUCCGCCAAAGUCCGAGUUUGUUAAUAGGGGUAAUUAAAGGAAAAGUUAAACUGAAUAAAAUAAAUUGGUUGAGCCAUUGAAAGAAAUGUGAAAAUGGAAUGUGAAUUAAAAAAAAUAUGAUUUGACUGUGAGUAUGAGAAUGGAAAGCAUGAACCAAUGGUUCAUGAGAUGGAUAAUGGCUCAACAUGAAUGUAUAUGAUUUCAAUUGUUGAUUAGCUAAAUUGAAUUGUAUGAAUAUAUUGAGAAUGACAAAUUUAUAUUUGACUUGGUCUAGUAAAAAAAUAAAAUAAAAUAAAAUAAAAUAAAGUUAUAUGAUUUAAUGAUAUGAUUAUUAUUGUAGCGACAUAAAAUUUUUGCUUUGGUCGCUAAUUGAGGCGAUUUAUUGAAAAUUUGAAAACCGACUUUUGAUUUUAUUUAAAAAGGGAGUCGUCACCGAUCCUUUUUCCUAGGUGUGAUCGGACACCUAAUAAAUCCUCUUUUUUUAAAAGAAAAUUUAUUUUUAAACAAAAAGAAGGCCGAGUUUAGGUCUACGCGAAAAUCCAGAGAAAAAAAGGGUUCGGGAGUCGGUUACGCACGAGGAAGGUAUUAGCACCCUCGCGAUGCCCAAAAUUGGUAUAUUGUUAAACAUGUGUUGUCUUAAUUUUCGAAAAUGCGAGUUCAAUGUAACAUUUAAUCAUUAUUCGAGCAAAACACGAGAAUUUUUAUAAUUUCGAUUUCUUUUGAGAAGGAUGUUCCGUUUUUAACACGAGCCGAUGGUAUUCACCCAAUAUAGCGAUGAAAUCAACGACUUAAUGUUAAAUCGGCACGUUGCCUUAUUUAUUGAAAUUAAUAAAAAAUGAAUAAAAUAUUUCUUAAAAUAAAAAUUCAUAAAUAAAUAAACAGUGCAAACAAUGAUAUAAUGAAUGAAAAAUAUUAACAUAUAAUAUAAGAGCAUUAGGAUAAAAAUAAAAACAAUAUUUACAAUAAAAAGAAAAUAAUAAUAAAAAUAAUGAUAUGCUAAUAAUAUAAUAAGAAAAACAAACUGAUACAGAAUGGGUAAGAACAAAAAUAAAAGAGUUAGAAAUACAUCGAAGCAAAUAAUAAAUACGACAAUGAUAUUAAAAACAAUAACAAUGCAUGCGAUGUUAAACGUAAUAAUGUAUUAAACACGAAAUAAAAACAAUGAAUAUAUAUAUAUACAUCUAAUAAUAGUUAGUAAAGUGAUGGAAACAUGAUAUUAAAAAUACUAAUAAUGUUACCUAUAUACAUAUGUAUAUAUUAAAAUAUAAAAAUAAUAAUAGUAUUAAAAAGUAUAUACAUAGUAUUAACAAUAUAUACAUAAUAUAGUUAUUAAAAAAUAUAUAAAUAAAAUAAUAUGUAAAAUAUAUAUAUAUAAUAUAGUAUUAAAAAAUAUACAUGAUAUAUAUAAAAUAUAAUAUUAAAAAGAUAUAUAUACGUAAUAUAUAUAAAAAAUGUAUACAUAAUAUAGUAUUAAAAUAUUUACAUAAUAUAUACAUAUUAGAAAUAAUAAUAAUGUUAAAAACAACUAUCAAUAAUACUACAUAAAUAUAUACAUAUAUAUAUUAAAGAUAUAUGCAUAUAUAAUAAAACAUAUACUAAUAUUAAUAACAAAUAUAAUAGGGGUAAAUAGAUACAAUAAUAAUAUGUAUAUAACGUGAUGUUAAAAAUAUGUGUAUAAUAUAGUAUUUAAAUAUAUAUACAUAAUAUAUAUAUUAGGAAUAAUAAUAAUAUAAAAAAACAACUAUAAAUAUAUACAUAAAAUAUAUAUAUAAGUAUUAAUUGAAACUAAAAAAUAAUUCUAAUAAUAGUAAAAAUAUACUAAUAAUAAUGAUAAUAACGAUAAUAGUAAAUAUAAUAAUAAAUAAUAUUAAAAAUAAAAAAUGGUAAAAAUAAUAUAAAAACAAAUUAAAUUUGGAAAAAGGACUAAAUUCGAAACAAAAUGAAGUUUUGGGGCCAAUUUAAAAAGAAAUAAAGGGAAAGGGAUUAAUUUGGAUGCGCGCAAAACAAAGGAGGACUAAAAAAAAAUUAUUCCUCCCCUCAAAACGCAACACAGCAAGAGGGACUAAAUCGCAAAGCGCUAUAUACUUUGGGGCCAAAUUAAAAGCACAAUAAAUCUAAUUGCAAAACUAUAAAAAAGCGGAGGGGCUAAAAGUGCAAUUAGCCCCUCCAGUGAAAAACACGCGAAUCCUUGGUGGAGCGGGUCAGGUCGGGUCAGGCAAAACAACGUCGUUUUGGGGUUUAAUGGCCAACCCUAAAACGACGUCGUUUUGGGGGCUAUUUAAAUCUGAUUUCUUUUAAAAAAUUCAUUCUUCCUCUGUUCUAAAAAUUUUUUUUUCUCUCCUCCUCUCAUUUUCCUCUACAGAGACCCCUAACGCCGGUGAAGACUCCGGCCAGUCACCACUGUCAGCCAUCGUCACCGGCCACCGCGCAUGGUGGCCGGAAAUUAUAAAAGGUAAAUUUUUUUAAUUUUUUUAUUAUGUUUAUAUAUAAAUAUGUAUAUACUGUUUUUUUGAAAAAAAAAGAAAAAAAUAUAUGUAUGUAUAGUCGAAUACCGAAAAUAAAAAAGGAAAAGAGAUGAGACCUUAGCCUUUGGAAUCUGUUUUUUUUUCUCUUCAAUACUUGCUGGAUUUUCUUUGUUUUUUUGAGACUAUUAUGUGCUAAAAAUGAAAUUUAUUGUUUUAUUGCUUCCUCCAAAAAAUCUCACCUCGUUACAUGAUUUUUGAAUGGCCUUUUUAUAGCCAUCCUUUUACAAGUUGUUGUUUGUUUUUAAUCUUUCUAUCACUUCUGUUGUAGGUGGAUGAGGUCAACGGUGGCAGAGUUGGUGGUGGCAGGUGGAGCAGGUGGCUGACAAGGCUAGGGUGGCGGCAUGGCAGAGGCAGUGGCUAGGGUUUUUUGAUUUGUUUUGUGUAUUAAGGUUUUGGGCUGGCUUAGUGGGCUUAGGGUUUUUAAUUAUUUGGGUAUUUUAAUUUGGGUUAGGGUAUGUUAGUUGGGUUUAUUUUAUUUUAUUCAAAAUUGGGCCUCAAUAGCUGCCCCUCUUUGCUCAUUGUCGUGUAACGGGAAUGGAGCAAAGACCUUAAAAGGGCCAAUUUUGGCCGGUCUCGCCGAGUCUUGACUUCUUUGAUGCUCCUCUUCUUCAGGUAGCCUCAUUCUAGUGUACUGUGUCUUAUAGCUUUGAUCUAUCUCACCGCAACUUCAGAGAUACGACUCGUAGCUUCACUUUGCUCGCUUCUUUAGGGGUCUGAGGUUCCUAGCCUCGAUCUACUUCACUGCUCCAUUGCAACUUCGGGGAGGCAAAAUCUAUAUAUUCGAUUAGCUCUAAUCUUUAUUCUUUAUUGAAAAACAAACAUCGAAAAUAACUCGGCAUAUAAACUGACGUUCAACUCAUCUCUCGGAUUAUGAGUUAAUUUUUGAAAAAAAAUAAAAAAAUCGAAAAUUCCUCAGUGUGUGACCUGAGGCUCAACUCACCUCUCGCAAUAUGAGGUGAUUUUUUUGAAAAACAGAGACUAAAGAUACCUCAGCGUAUGACCCGAGGCUCAACUCACCUCUCGCAAUAUGAGUUGAAUUUUGAAAAAACAGAAAUUGAAAAUACCUCGGCGUGUCUCAAGGCUCAACUCACCUCUCGUAAUAUGAGUUGAUUUUUGAAACAUAAAUUGAAAAACAGAAAUUGAAAAUACCUUAGCAUGUGAGUCGAGGCUCAACUCACCUCUCGCAAUAUGAGUUGAUUUUUUUGAUGAACAGAAAUUAAAAUUACCUCAGCGUGUCCUGAGGCUCAACUCACCUCUCGCAAUAUGAGUUGAUUUUUUUGAAAGACAGAAAUUAAAAAUACCUCAACGUGUCUUGAGGCUCAACUCACCUCUCGCAAUAUGAGUUGAUUUUUGAAAUAGAAAUAAAAACAUCAAAAUACCAAAACAUGUCAUUUGGUGGAACUCAGGUGUUUUUUCCUUUGAUUUAGUACAGCUAUUAUCACAUCCUCUUGCUCUACUGGAGUACCUGUAUAUGUCAUGCAUGAUGUUAUCAUGAUAUGCACAUGUUUGUCUUAAAUGCUUUUAUGCCUACAUGAUUAUGCUAUGCGCCUUAAGCAUGUUUGUCGUAUGUCCUUUUUUGUUACGAUUUUUGUGAUGAUCUGCGUUCAUUACUUUGGCUCUUGACUUUCUCUUUAGGCCCUGUACCCGUCCUCAAGCUUCACGAGUAAUCAACAUUUCUCAGAUAUCACUCUUUUUCCCCUGGUUAAACUUUGUCCUUAUUUUGAGACUCUUGUACUUAUCAAAUUCUUAUCCGGGUAAUGCUCAACAUUUCUUUUGUCUAGAGUAUGUCAUUUCACUAUUUAUCAUUUAAAUAAACCACAUAAUGAGAUGCAUAAAAAUGGUCAGGUAGGGACAACAGGGGUACCUCACAUUUAUUUAUUUCAAAUAUAACAAACAAAGAAAGUUAACCAAUGAUAUUAAAAAAAGUGUCAUAAAGAGAAAAGAGAUCGCAUUCAACAGAUACAAAUGCUCUAGAUAUUCAAUGCAUGAACUCUUCCACGUUUCUUAAUCAAGAAUCCUUUCAAGUGUGGCUUCUUGUGUAGAGGAUUUCGAGCUUUCAGAAAUGCUUCAAAUACUGGAGACCCAUAUUAAUUUUUAUUUGGUCCAAAAAUAUUUUAUCAUUUCUGUAUUCGCAAUUCAAUAUAGAUGGGUAUUUCAUAACAUAUAUAUGUCCCUCUUACUCUCAGUUUUCUCAGGCAAUUUGGUGGAAUACUCGAAGGGUCGAUUCUUUUUUUCGUCUUAGCUUCUGUCUUUAUGAAUGAAAACAAAAGAAAGGAGUCUCUCAUUAUGAUCUGGAUUUCAUUUCUAUGGGUUGCAUCUUUUUUUCUUUAAUUUCAUUUUUAUUCUUAUCCUUUUAUUAGACUAUCCUAUAUAACCAUAAUAACUAAAAAAAUAAAAAUGAAAAUUGAAUUUAUUCAUUAUUAAAAAUGAAAAUGAAAUUCAUUAUUUUUUUUUAUAGUAUAAUAGCUAGAACUAAUUAUUUAUAUUUACCGUCUUGCUCUUUAAGCCCGGGUUUACUCCAUUAAGAAGCCCUUUUGGGUUUUCAUCCUAAUCUUUUGUGUUAAUCAAGACGCUUUUUUCGGGUUUUCACCUUGAUCUCACUUUUUUUAGGCAUAAUAUUUCUUUACAGCAUCUGAGUUAACUAGGUUAGGUAACUCUUUCUCAUCCAUCUCAGUGAGAAUCAAAGCUCCACCCGAGAAUGCCUUCUUUACGACGUAUGGUCUUUCCCAAUUUGGUGCCCAUUUUCCUUGCAGGUUUUUUUGUAUUGGGAGAAUCUUUUUCAGCACGAGUUCCCCUUCGUGGAAUUCUCUUGGCUGUACUUUCUUGUCAUGGGCCGCGAUCAUUCUCUUCUGGUACAUCUGUCCGUGACAAAUUGCCUUUAGACGUUUUUCCUCGAUGAGGUUCAACUGGUCAUAUCGAGCUCGAACCCAUUCUGCUUCCUCUAGUUUCGACUCCAUUAAGACUCGUAGAGAGGGGAUCUCAACUUCGAUAGGUAGCACAGCUUCCAUUCCAUAGACCAGAGAGAAAGGAGUUGCUCCCGUAGAUGUCCGCACAGAUGUGCGAUAUGCAUACAAAGCAAAUGGUAGCUUUUCGUGCUAGUCUUUAUAAGUAUCGGUAAUUUUCCCAAUAAUCUUUUUAAUAUUCUUGUUGGCCGCUUCAACAGCUCCGUUCAUUUUCAGGCAAUAGGGUGAUGAGUUAUGAUGCUUUAUUUGAAAUUGCUCACACACUUCUUUCAUCAUCUUGUUGUUCAGAUUCAAGGCGUUAUCUGAAAUGAUUCUUUCAGGCAAACCAUAUCGACAAAUGAUUUCUUUUUUCAAAAACCUGCAAACUGUAGUCUUCGUCAUAUUGGCAAACGAAGCGGCUUCUAAACAUUUUGUGAAGUAAUCAAUAACCACAAAAAUAAACCGUUGUCUAUUAGAAGCUUUUGGGGAAAUUGGCCUUAUAACAUCCAUACCCUACAUAGAAAAAGGCCACGGAGAAGUCAUUACAUGAAGGGGCAAAGGGACUACAUGAAUCAUAUCGCCAUAAAUUUGACAUUUGUGGCAUUUUCUUGCAUAACUAAUGUAGUCACUUUCCAUCAUCAGCCAGUAAUAAUCGAGUCUCAUAAUCUUCUUGGCCAUAGUGAAACCAUUUGCAUGUGUCCCACAAAUUCCCUCAUGGACAUCUUCAAGUAUUUUUCUAGCUUCAAUAUCAUCUACGCAUCUCAAGAGCACUUUAUCUUUUCCUCUUUUGUAUAGGAUGUCCCCAUCAAGAAAAAAUCCCACUGACAUUCUUCUGAUUGUUCUUUUAUCAUUCUCAUUUGCUUAUUCGGGAUACUUUUGAUUCUUGACAUAUUCUAAGAUAUCAUGGAACCAUGGCCGUCCAUCUGGCUCUUUCUCAAUGCUGAAACAAUGUGCAGGGACUUCAUAUAUGCUCAUUUGGAGAUGCAUUAUUUCUGUUUCUCUGUUCGCUUUGAACAUUGAGGCCAAAGUGGCCAGGGCAUCAGCCAAUUGGUUUUCUUCUCGUGGGAAGUAAUUAAAAGUUAUUUCUUUGAAUUCUUUAAUCAGCCCUGCCACUAGAUCGCUGUAUUUGACUAAUUUCGAAUCUCUCACUUCCCAAUCUCUACGGAUUUGCUAUAUCACCAACGCUGAGUCCCCUUACACUUCUAAGAUUUUGACUCAAUAGCUGCACGAAGUCCCAUUAUACAGAUCUCAUAUUCUACUAUGUUAUUGGUACAGAAGAAAUUCAACCUGGCAGUGAACGGAUAAUGGUUCCCUUCUGGGGAUACUAAGACUGCUCCAAUCCCAUGCCCCAAUGUAUUCGAUGCACCAUCAAAACUCAUCUUCGAUGACUUCUCUUGGGAUGAAUCAUAUUCUUUUCCCGUAAUGCACAUUAAGUCUUCAUCCGGGAAAUCAAAUCUCAAUGGCUCGUAUUCCUCCGUUGUUCGAGUUGCUAAGAAAUCAACUAUUGCACUCUCUUUUAUUGACUUUUGGCUCACAUAGACGAUGUCGUAUUCUGAUAGUAAGAUCUUCCAUCGUGCCAUUCUUCCUGAGAGGGCAGGUGAUUCCAUCAUGUACUUAAUUGAGUCCAGCUUCAAAAUUAACCAUGUCGUAGGAUACAACAUAUAUUGCCUAAGCCUCCGAACUACCCAAACCAAAGUGCAACAGAAUUUUUCAAUUGAUGAGUACUUUGCCUCAUACUCUGUGAACUUUUUGCUGAGAUAGUAAAUCGCCUUUUCUCUUUUCCCUGACUCAUCGUGUUGCCCCAGUACGCAACCCAUUGAAUUUUCGAACACAGUUAGAUACAAUAUUAACGGUCUUCUUGGAGUUGGAGGUACUAGCACCGAGGGACUAGACAAAUACUAUUUUAUCUUGUCAAAAGCCACUUGGCACUCUUCGUUCCAUUCUCCCAGAUUAUGUUUUCAAAGGAAUCGUAAAAUUGGGUCACACUGGUUGGUAAAUUGAGCAAUGAACCGAGCGAUGUAGUUCACCUCCCUAAAAAUCCUCUGACUUCUUUUUGCGUGCGCGGAGGUGGCAGUUCUUGUAUGGCUUUUAUCUUAUCUAGAUCAACUUCAAUGCCUCUCUCGCUGACGAUGAAGCCUAGCAAUUUUCCUGAGGUUGCCCCAAACGUGCACUUGGUUGGAUUAAGCUUCAGCUGGAACUUUCUCAGUCUCUCGAACAACUUCUUGAGGUUCUCAACAUGCUCUCUUUCCCCUUUGGAUUUAGCGAUCAUAUCAUUGACGUAGACUUCUAUUUCUUUGUGCAUCAUGUCAUGAAACAACAUCACCAUGGCCCUCUGAUAUGUUGCCCUAGUGUUCUUUAAUCCGACCGACAUCAACUUAUAACAGAAUGUUCCCCACAUCGUUACGAAAGUAGUUUUCUCCAUAUCCUCAGGAGCCAUCUUUAUCUGAUUUUAACCUGAGAAUCCAUCCAUGAACGAAAACAAUGAAUGUUUGGCGGUGUUAUCCACCAAUGUAUCGAUGUGUGGCAAAAGAAAAUUAUCUUUAGGACUUACUCGAUUCAGAUCAUGAUAAUCCAUACACAUUCGCACGUUGCCAUCUUUCUCCGGUACUGGGACUAUGUUAGCUACCCAUUGUGGGUACUUAGAGACUUGUAGGAAGUCGAAUUAUUUCUUGACUUCUUCUUUUAUCUUUAACAGUAUUUCAGGUCUCAUUCGUCUUAGCUUCUGUUGAAUGGGUUUGCAUUCUGGUUUCAGUGGGAGCCUAUAGACCACUACAUCCUUAUCCAAUCCUGGCAUCUCCUGAUAUGACCAUGCAAAUACAACUUUGUACUCAUGAAGCAAAGUGACCAAAUCAUGUUUGGUGUUAUCUGAAAUGGAAGUCCCAAUCUUCACUUCUUGCCUCUUUUCUUCAUUUCUCAAGUUUACUAUCUCAACAGAUUCUUGAUGAGGUAGAAUCUGUUUAUCUUCUUGUUCUACCAUUCUUAGUAAGUCAGGAGAUGAGACAUAGUCUUCAGUAUUUUCCUCAGCUUCAAACUCUCCUAAACAAAUAGCCUUCUCGAAAUCGAUUUCAAGAUUUGUAACGAGUUUGUUCAUAUCGUUGAUAUCCGAGCACUUGAAAGUUGAAUGGAAAAGAAAAAUGUAGAGGAGCAUCAAAGUAUUGGGACCAACAAGCAUGGCAUGAUGUGAGAUAUAUGCAAUGAUAGGCUGUGUGAAGAGGGAAAAAAUUAUGAAUUUAAUGAGAAUGAAAGGACCAUGACAAAAUACAUCUCCAUUAAUGUUCAUUUAAAUGAUAAAGAGCAAACAUAAGCUCUUACAAAAGAAUUCCACUAUUACUUGGGGACACACAAAAUGAAUAGUGUUAACAUUGAGCAUUACUCUGGAAGAGACUUAGAAACUGCAAGGAGAUCCACAACAGUCCAAUUGUUCAAAACGAAUCCAGGAAGACAAGGGCGUAUCAUUGAAACAUCUUUAAUUGCAUCAUUUUUUUUAUCAAUGACAUUUAUACUGACAUUCGAAAGACCCCUUUCAAUUAAUAGUAGCGUGUUUCGUGGAUUAUCUUGCCCGGAGUAUAUCAUUCCUGCAGAUGUAAAUGUUUUUGACAAAGGAAGAUACGUUAUGGGCUCCCAUUCUAAUUCUCGGCCUAAGGCUCUUGCAAUCCGCCUUUCUCAAUCUUUCUAUAACUGUUUUCUUCUUUGUCGCAUAUCUGGCUGGAACCCUAAACCAUAUUGAGCCUUAUGAGGCACGGGUUUUAGAGCUCUAACUAUCCCUUGCUGAUAUCUUCCCAAACCUUUCCUCGCUCGGGCUUCCUUUAUCACAAUCAGUUUAAUUCUCAUCUUGGUAUUCCUUGACAGCUUAGGCAUAGGAAUCUUAUUUCCUUCAGCAACGAACAUAGCAUUGAUGAAUUCAAAGGAACGGAAGGAACAUUCUACUGCAUCCUUGCUUAUUUCAAGGUAUGGUGUAUCCGCAGAGAUAGAUGCAACAAUGUCUUCCUCACCUACGACAGUGACCAAAAGUCCAUCCAUGAUAAACUUCACUUUUUGAUGGAGAGAUGAAGGAACUGCCCCAGCAGAGUGGAUCUAAGGCCUUCCUAAAAGGCAAUUAUACGAAGGUAUGAUGUCCAUGACCUGAAAAUCGAUGUCAUAUAUAUAGGGGCCCACUUCUAGAGGAAUUUUAAUUUUUCCCAUGACUUCUCGUCUUGUCCCAUCGAAUGCUUUUACUAUAGAGUGAUAAGGCCUCAGAUAGGAUAAAUCAAUUGGAAUUCUAGAAAGCGUAGCCAAAGGCAUGACAUUGAGUGCUGACUCGUUAUUAAUGAGCACAUUCGGUAUUAUAUAACUCUUACAACGGGUUGUGAUAUAUAAUGCUUUUACGGAGCCCCUACCAUUUGGCGGUAUUUCAUCAUCACUAAAAGAAAUGAAAUUAUCCGCGUUCAGGUUAUUCACCCACCUAUUAAGCUUUUCGACAGAUAUAUUGCUUGCUACGUAAGCUUGAUUUAACACUUUCAGCAAAGCAUUCCGAUGUGGUUCUGAAUUCAACAGUAGGGAUAAUACUGAGAUUCGUACCGGUUGUUUGCUUAACUAUUUCACGAUGUUAUAUUCACUAUGCUUGAUGAACUUCAAGAAUUCAUGUGCUUCCUCUUCAUUCACAGGCCUUUUAACUUCUUGUUCGGAAGGAGUCUCAAGUUCAACCUCGGCCUCCUGCAUCGGUGCCUUUCCUUUCUGCUUCAAGUCAUUAGUCUUCUUUAUUGGUUCGACCACUUUAGAAUAACACCUCCCGCUACGGGUGAAAUGUCUUACUUUUCCAAUAUUUUCGGUCGUGACUUUGGAUUUUUCACCUUCAGGUAUGAUAAUGUUGACAUCAUAUUUCCAUGGUACUGCCUUGUUGUCUUUGUAAGGGAACAGAGAUGAUAAUUCAAUUAUCAUUUUUGGUUUCACUUGCUCCUUUUUUGCAUCGUAAUAAAUCACCAAUGGUCGAUUGGCGCUAUAAGGGAAACUUCAUGAUUGAUUGUUAGAAGCGCAUACUUCUCCCUCAUCGGCCUCUUUGUUAAAGAUCUCAAUCUCCUUAUUAUCCAUCAUAUCUUGAAGUAACUUUCUAAAUUCCUCACAAGACUGAAUGUCAUGCCCUUCAAUACCAUGGAAGCCAUAAAAACAUUGACUUUUUAUACUUCCUUCUUUAAAAAUUCUGCAGGGGCGACAGAACAGCCCAUUUUCAACCAUCACCUUCCAUAUCUUCUGUAAAGGUGUCUUUAUUUCAGAAACGCAGCUUUUGGUUUGCCACUUGUCUUCCUUGGUCAUUGCGUUCACAUUCCCUUCAGUAUAGUUAGGGAGCGGAUUUCCAAUUCUAUUGCUAGUACCAUUAAAUCGUAAGAUGUCUGCAUCAAUGAGGCCUUGAACCCUCCUUUUAAAUGCCAGACAAUUUUUGUAGAAUGCCCCUGGUUUCCGACGUGGUAUAUGCAACUGGCAUUAGGAUCGUACCAUUUUGGGUAUGGAGGCUUCAAGGGUGCCAUAUAAUGUGGGGAUAUUAAUUAUUUUUCCAACAGUUUUGGGUACAACUCUCCAUAUGACACGGGAAUUGGGGUGAACUGGGGUUUUUCAAGAUUGGAUCUUGUCGGUCUUUGUUCAUUUUUAGGUUGGAUUUGAGCUGGCAUGGUAUUCUGUGGGAACAUAGUGACUAGUCUUUAGUUAUUUGUGGCGUAGACGGGGUAAGAAGGGUAAUGAGGUGGUGCUUGAUAGUAAGGGCUUUGGGGAGGAUAAUAGAAGUUUGGAGGUGGGCGAUAUCGAGGUCGUGACUGGGUUGGAUACGGAUUAGAAGUGUAGUAAUUCUCAGUUCCCACCAUAUAGGCUUCUGCCUCUUUUUUCUUUACAAGUGCUGCCAUUUUCGAGCUCUCGGAACCUUCCAUCUUUCCAGUUUUGAUGGUAUUUUCUAUAAGUUCCCCGGAUAUUACAAUAUCUGCGAAGUCUUUCGUGGCACUUCCUACCAACUUAUCAUAAAACGGUACUUUCAAAGUGUUGAUGAAGAGGACCGUUAUUUCAGUUUUGGUCAAUGGGGGUUCUACUUGGGCCGAGAUAUCCCUCCAUCUUUGCGUGUAUUGCCUAAAAGUCUCCGUUGGCUUCUUUUCCAUCAUCUGCAGAGUUAGUCGAUCAGGCACCAUGUCGGAUACAUACUUGUAUUGUUCACAAAAUGCUAAUGCCAAGUCUUUCCAUGAUUAGAUCCUUUCUCUACUAAGUUGAUUAUACCAUCAAAGGGCUGAUCCGACCAAGCUAUCUUGGAAACAGUGUAUUAGCAAUUUAUCUUCAUUCACGUAACCAGUAAUCUUCCGGCAAAACCUGACAAGGUGUGCCUUUGGACAUUUCGUUCUAUCAUAUUUUUCAAAAUCGAGCACUUUAAAUUUUGGAGGCAGAACCAGAUCGGGCACCAAAUUGAGCUCUUUGGCACUCAAUGCAGAGAAGGCUUCAGUACCUUCUAUCGCUUUAAGUCUUUCUUCCAAACUCCUAUACUUAUCUUGAACAUCAUGAUCAUCUAUUUUCAACCUGGCUAUUUCUAUCGGGUCAUCCAAAUCUGAAACAUUGGGAUCAGCAAGAUUAGCUCCUGGGUUUGAUACGAAUGUACCUUGACCUAGAUGAGUAGGUGGUACAAUUUGUUGCUCGAGGCUUGUAGGUUCCCUUUGAGGAUAUUCUCUUUGCGUUGUGUGUGCAUGAGGUGGAGUGAAUCCUGGGGGAUAGAGUGGAUCCUGAUCAUGAUUAGUUCUUGGCUGAGGCUCCAUAGUGUCAGGGUUCUGUAUAGGUUCCUUUCCUUUGACCAAAGCUGUAAUCAUUUCCAUCAUUUUGGCCAUCUAAUCUCUUUGUUCGAGCGAUUCCUCUCGAGAUCUUAACAUCAAAUCUCUUGCUUCCUGUUGUGACUUGGUCAAUUACUCUUGCAAUUCUCUUUGGGCCCUUUUCAUCCUUUCAAUUCUUUCAUUGAACUAGGCUUCCAUAAAUCUAGCUUUUCGGCGCGUCCUAUAAGAAUGGCGUGAUUUUAGACUUGUAGUGUCACAACUGCGGAUUAUACAGUUUUAGCCACAGUGAAUGAUUAUGGUGAUAUGUACAUGCAAUGAAUGAAUGAAUGAAUGAAUGAAAAAUGAAUAUUGAAUAAAUGACGAAUGAAUGUUAGUCAUGAAUAAAUAUGCAAGAAUUUGGUGUUGAUUUCAAGAUAGCCCCAUACUUAGGCAUUUCAUUUAUCAAAAGAGUCUAUUACAAAACAUUUCGCCAUUUUUUUUAUUCAACAGUUACACAAAUUUCCUAGCCACAUUGCCUUGUUUCUUCCCUCGCUCUAAGAACUCUGACAUGUUUGAUCUUUAGCUCGGAGGGAAUUGGCAACUGAAAGCUUCGGCUUCAUCUGAUAAUUGCACAACUUGCAUAGCUGCCCUGCGAAUUUCAUUGAUCAAAAAGCCGAGUUGCAUUUCUUUUUCUUGGAGAGCUCUUUCAUAAGUGUGAGUGUCUCCGUCAUACUGAUCAUUCUUUUCUUCUAGAGCUUUUAGAAGAGUAUCUAACUAUUGCUGAUGAGAUUGCAGCAUAUUUUCUAGAUCUUGUAUUUUCCUUCUUAGCUUUUGACGUUCGGACUGACUAGUCACAAAUUCUGCAGUCACAGUUUCAUACUCAACAUUCUUCUUUUUUAACUCUAUCAUAGUACGCGCAGCUUUUUCCUCUUCUUUCUUUGCUUUCCCUUUCCAGAAUUCUAUCCCUCCUUUGAUGUUGCUAAUUUCUUCCUUCCAUUCUGCUGACGACUUGCCUAAACCACUAUUUUUUAUAGUGUUUCUUAAUUUCUUAUUUUCCAAAUGAAGGUCCCUUAAGUCGUUUCUCAUGAUCUCAACUUCUUUUUGAACUUUCAUGGUUUUGGAUUCUUCAAUUUGAACCCUGAUCUUCAGCUGGUAGUUUUCCUCUUGAAGAGAACUAAUAUCCCGUAACAGCUUGGCCUUUUCACGUUCAAAUUCAUGUCUUGCUACUUCCAGCUCGGAUGGCAUUUUUUUUAAGAAAGGAUUCUAGAAAGUGUAACUUGUCGGUGAGAUUUGUUGACUAUUCACUCGUCGUUUUCCCCAUAAGCCAUAAUCCUGAGUGAUAGUAUCAGCAUAAAGGGCUAACUCCAUUAGGUGAAUUUCCUUCCAAGACUUUGCAGUAUCUCAAAUUCUUUUCAUGUAGCCUUCACCCGUAAAGGCGAACUCUGAUUGUGCCAAUCCUUCAGUAGCGGGUAUGAACUGUCGUGAAGCAAAUUAUCUUUGAACCAUUAACGGAGUGUAUCCAAUUCCUCCCCAUAAUCCUAGUAAAGACACCCAAUCUUGGCUUCUGCAUUUAUAUAUCAGAAUUGAAGGAAGAAUCCAUGGUGCUCUCCAGGUUAUCUCUUCAGCGCGAAGGUUUUGAAAAACCAAAACCCAGUUCUGCUCGGUGACAUCUUUCGGCCAAUCUUUCUCAAAGUAAGCCUUUAAUGGGGCGAAUGUUUUUUGAGAACAUGUGGAAAGGUGUGUGCUCUACUUUCCAGAAAUGGCUCAGAAUCCAGACAUUAAGCAACUGCGCGCAUCCGAUAAAACGCCCUUCCCCUUUUCUGCUACAACUACUCAGAGAUCUAAAAGUCUCGGCCAAGAUAGUUGGAAUGGGGUUGAUCCCUUGACCCAACCUUUCGAAGAAAUCCACUACCGCGACUUCUACAUGCCCCAAAACCUUUGGGAAGACGACCAAUCCGUAAAUGGCCAAAGCAAACAGAUUCAUUCUCUUCGCAAUAUCUGGAUGAUUUUGAACUAAGUCUCGCAGAGAAAACCAUGGAACACAACUGACUUCAUUCUUUUUCUUUAUCUAUUUUUCAGCCCAUAUAUCAGUCAUUACGGUCAACCUCACUAGCUUUUUCUUGAAGUUCAUUGGCUUAGGCUCUUUCACAUACAUCUUGUUGAAUUGUACAUUGUCAACACGAAGCAAAGCAGCAUAUUCUUCUAUGGUCGGAGUCAUAUCUUCCUGAUUGAAAGUAAAGCACUGGUAAGCUGGGUCCCAAAAUCGAACCAUGGCUUGAAUUAACUGUUCGUCUAUGUUGAUGGUGAUCAAGUGAGCUAUAUCCCCGUACUUUUCAGUGAAAAUCCCCCUAGUAUCUGAGUCUCACUGUUUCCAAAUCUGAGUCAAGUCUUCGAGAUUAUUCUGACGAACAUUUGUAGCUACUUGCUCGGGAAGAUUAGAGAUACAUCCUUCCGUUAAACUAUCCCCUUUCGCUUUCUGAGUCUUCAAAGACCAGUCUCGAACCACGCCAUUUUUCUCGGUUACUUGUGUAAUUGACUCCUCCAUCAGAAACCCGUUUUUGGCAACCAAUCUCUAAUCAACACCUUCCUAAUCAAGAUGCCUAUGAUGCAUGAUGAAAAAUAAAAAUAAAGACAAACAACCUUGGUUAGUAAUCACAACAAAUAUAAACUGAGAAAAACUAUGGAAAUUUCAACAAAUUAAGCUACUCAGUUUAAUUCUUUUGCAUAAACAGUGUAAAUGUAAAGGAAAUGAAAAUCAAGAGGCGUUUCUCCCGCGUACUUAUUUUGGUGACUAUUAAACAGACAAAGGUUCGGCAUGGCUCUAAUUAGGUGGCUCAUAUGGUUCACUAUAUGCGAUUUCGGUUCUAGAUAGGUACUCGAAUUGUCCGUACUGUCAUCUGCUAAGAUUAGUACGAAGCCUCGGUCAUUGCCUAUCACAGGCUUACGAGUUCAGUUCGAGGGAUCACAUUUACUUAUGCCUAUGCGGAGGGACAAGUUAACUCACGAAAGCAUAAGUCAUAUGUAACCCGAAAGUAUUCACUAGCCUGUGCGGAGGGACGAGUUAACUCACGAAGGCAUAGCGUUUACUUUCACUUAAACAGACGGAGCCCAGGUAGAAAGCUUAUGUUAUGCAAAAAUGCAAGUGAUCAGUGUAUGGGGAAAAACUCACAAACCUUUUCGUUUUUAUUUAAAACUAAAAGAAGCUAAAACUAUAAAGACUUAAAGCUGAAAAGAAAAGGAUAAAACAAGUUAGAGAAAAUACUUACAACAUGAUGCAAAUGCAUGAUUUUUUGAAAACAAAAUUUGAGGAUCACGACUAAAUAUUAAUUUGAACAAGGAAAUUUGAAAUUUUUGACAACACGCGUUUAAUUCAACUCGACUCUCAAAAAUAAGUCCCCAGUGGAGUCGCCAGCUGUAGCGACGUAAAAUUUUUUCUUUGGUCGCUAAUUGAGGCGAUUUAUUGAAAAUUUGAAAAUCGACUUUCGAUUUUAUUUAAAAAGGGAGUCACCACCGAUCUUUUUUCCUAGGUGUGAUCGGACACCUAAUAAAUCCUCUUUUUUUAAAAGAAAAUUUAUUUUUUAAACAAAAAGAAGGCCGAGGUUAGGUCUACGCGAAAAUCCAGAGAAAAAAAGGGUUUGGGAGUCGGUUAUGCACGAGGAAGGUAUUAGCACCCUCGCGACGCCCAAAAUUGGUAUCUUGUUAAACAUGUGUUGUCUUAAUUUUCGAAAAUGCGAGUUCAAUGUAACAUUUAAUCAUGAUUCGAUCAAAACACGAAAAUUUUUAUAAUUUCGAUUUCUUUUGACAAGGAUGUUCCGUUUUUAACACGAGACGAUGAUAUUCACCCAACAUAGCGAUGAAAUCAACGACUUAAUGGUAAAUCGGCACGUUGCCUUAUUUAUUGAAAUUAAUAAAAAAUGAAUAAAAUAAUUCUUAAAAUAAAAAUUCAUAAAUAAAUAAACGGUGCAAACAAUGAUAUAAUGAAUGAAAAAUAUUAACAUAUAAUAUAAGAGCAUUAGGAUAAAAAUAAAAACAAUAUUUACAAUAAAAAGAAAAUAAUAAUAAAAAUAAUGAUAUGCUAAUAAUAUAAUAAGAAAAGCAAACUGAUACAGAAUGGUAAGAACAAAACUAAAAGAGUUAGAAAUACAUCGAAGCAAAUAAUAAAUACGACAAUGAUAUUAAAAACAAUAACAAUGCAUGCGAUAUUAAACGUAAUAAUAGUAUUAAACACGAAAUAAAAACAAUGAAUAUAUAUAUACAUAUAAUAAUAGUUAGUAAAGUGAUGGGAACAUGAUAUUAAAAACAAUAAUAAUGUUACCUAUAUACAUAUGUAUAUAUUAAAAUAUAAACAUAAUAAUAGUAUUAAAAAGCAUAUACAUAGUAUUAACAAUAUAUACAUAAUAUAGUUAUUAAAAAAUAUAUACAUAAAACAAUAUGUAAAAAAAAUAUAUAAAUAAUAUAGUAUUAAAAAAUAUACAUGAUAUAUAUAAAAUAUAAUAUUAAAAAGAUAUAUAUACGUAAUAUAUAUAAAAAAUGUAUACAUAAUAUAGUAUUAAAAUAUUUACAUAAUAUAUACAUAUUAGAAAUAAUAAUGUUAAAAACAACUAUCAAUAAUACUACAUAAAUAUAUACAUAUAUAUAUAUUAAAGAUAUAUACAUAUAUAAUAAAACACAUACUAAUAUUAAUAACAAAUAUAAUAGGGGUAAAAAUAGACACAAUAAUAAUAUGUAUAUAACGUGGUAUUAAAAAUAUGUGUAUAAUAUAGUAUUUAAAUAUAUAUACAUAAUAUAUAUAUUAGGAAUAAUAAUAAUAUAAAAAAACAACUAUAAAUAUAUACAUAAUAUAUAUAUAAGUAUUAAUUGAAACUAAAAAAUAAUUCUAAUAAUAGUAAAAAUAUACUAAUAAUAAUGAUAAUAACGAUAAUAGUAAAUAUAAUAAUAAAUAAUAUUAAAAAUAAAAAAUGGUAAAAAUAAUAUAAAAAAACAAAUUAAAUCUGGAAAAGGGACUAAAUUCGAAACAAAAAUAAAGUUUUGGGGCCAAUUUAAAAAGAAAUAAAGGGAAAGAGAUUAAUUUGGAUGCACGCAAAACAAAGGACUAAAAAAGCAAUUAUUCCUCCCCUCAAAACGCAACACAGUAAAAGGGACUAAAUCGCAAAGCGCUAUAUACUUUGGGCCCAAAUUAAAAGCACAAUAAAUCUAAUUGCAAAACCAUAAAAAAGCAGAGGGGCUAAAAGUGCAAUUAGCCCCUCCAAUGAAAAACACGCGGAUCCUUGGUGGAGCGGGUCAAAUCGGGUCGGGUCAGGCAAAACGACGUCAUUUUGGGGUUUAAUGGCCAACCCCAAAACGACGUCGUUUUGGGGGCUAUUUAAAUCCGAUUUCUUUUAAAAAAUUCAUUCUUCUUCUGUUCUAAAAAGAAAUUUCUCUCCUCCUCUCAUUUUCCUCUGCAGAGACCCUCAACGCCGGUGAAGACUCCGGCCAGUCACCACCGUCGGCCACCGAAGGUAAAUUUUUAAAAUUUUUUUAUUAUGUUUAUAUAUAAAUAUGUAUAUACUGUUUUUUUUUAAAAAAAAAGAAAAAAAAUAUAUAUGUAUGUAUAGUCGAAUACUGAAAAUAAAAAAGGAAAAGAGAUGAGACCUUAGCCUUUGGAAUCUGUUUUUUUUUCUCUUCAAUACUUGCUGGAUUUUCUUUGUUUUUUUAAGACUAUUAUGUGCUAAAAAUGAGAUUUAUUGUUUUAUUGCUUCCUCCAAAAAAUCUCACCUCUUUACAUGAUUUUUGAAUGGCCUUUUCAUAGCCAUCCUUUUACAAGUUGUUGUUUUUUUUUUAAUCUUUCUAUCACUUCUGUUGCAGGUGGAUGAGGUCAAUGGUGGCAGAGUUGGUGGUGGCAGGUGGAGCAGGUGGCUGACAAGGCUAGGGCGGCGGCAUGGCAAAGGCAGUGGCAAGGGUUUUCUGAUUUGUUUUGUGUAUUAAGGUUUUGGGUUGGCUUAGUGGACUUAGGGUUUUUAAUUAUUUGGGUAUUUUAAUUUGAGUUAGGGUAGGUUAGUUGGGUUUAUUUUAUUUUAUUCAAAAUUAGGCCUCAACAAUUAUGUUUAUAAUUUGAAUUAUGGUAAUACCACUGAGUAUAAAAUACUCAAUGUACGGUUAUUUCCGUAUGCAAGUUAAUAGGUGUUAAGGGUCUUGGUUCAGCAUCCAGGCGAUCCCGAUUCCAGCGCAAAACUCAAUUAUGUAUUUUUCUUUUGGUAAAAGUGGCAUGUACAUAGGUGUUAUUUUGGUCACUUUAAAAUACUAUAUGAUUUUUGUUGUAAAGAAUGAUAUUUGGUAUUUUGGUGUUUAAACUAAUGAAAUGGUAUGAAAAUUUAUAUGAUAUACAUGAUAUAAUUGGUGUUAAAUUUAGAAUGGAAUGAAUGAAAUUCUAAUUUAAUUUUUAAUGGUAAUAUAAAUGUUCAUAGAGUAAAUUAUCAAAUUAAUGUUAUAGGUAUGAUUUUAAUACGAUUAAACAUGAAAUUGCAUUGGUUGAAAUAUUGGUUUUGAAUUGGUCCCGGAUUGAAAUUGCAGGGAAGGUUAGAUAUUUAUAAAAGGGUUAUAUUGAGUUAAAAAAAAUAUCCUCGUAGCACCCGAACAAGUCCAAAUUCCCCUCUAAUAUGUAUUUUGGGCCUUAAGGGUCCAAUCAAGAGACUUUAUAAUUAUUUUAUAAUAUAAUAUGUUCGAUAAUUAUUUGAAUAUUAAUCGUAAAUUGUUUGAUUGUCCGGUAAUGCCUCGUAACCCUGUUCUAGUGACAGUUUAGGGUUAGAGGGUGUUACAGUCUCACUCAAAGAAUGAUUUUAUUAACCAUUAACAUAAUAGAACUCUUGAAUUAAGUCCAAUUUGCCCUCAGACCAGUAAAUAAUUGCAGCUUCAAAGUUGAUCCCAAUUAUUACAAUCACUCUCCUAAAACCUCAUAAUACAAUCAAUUAAACUCUUCAAAGAAUGUCUGAGAAAAGAGUGUCAAAAUACUGAGUACAUGAUUAACUUUAUGGUAAAUAAAUCUCCUAAAGUAAAUCUGAUCAACAAUUUAUCCUUUAAGAUAUCAAGAAGUUCUGAUCGAAGUAAAACUUUUAAUUCAAGUCAAAAUUGUCACCUCAAUUGGAUAACGAUAAACUCUUUCAAAUAUAGUUUUUGUUUGUUCACAAAAACAUGUCCAAUGUAUCCUCUAUUUGCUACUUAAUUGGAAAUAUUUAUAUCUUAUCCUUGUACAAGUCAAAAUUGCCAACAAAAUAGGAUAUACUUUAUAUGUAUAAAAUCUUUUAUUAAAGAGUCAAUGAAUAGUUGGCUUGGAGGGGCGUAGUUAGGGGCUGGCAGGGUUCUGGCCCCCUUAAAAUGAAAUUUUUUUAUUUAGGCCAUUUAAAAUUUUUAAAUAAAGGUAAAAUUACACUUUGUCCUUCUAAAAAUAAUAAAAUUUGAUUUAACCCUUUAAAAAUUAUAAAUUCUAUUCAAAUGGUGAAAUUACAUUUUUUUUACAAUAUAAUUUCGGCCCCCUAGAAAAAUUUUCUGACUUCGCUCUUGUUUACUUGGACAAUUCGACUUCUUAUUUUAAUUGGAUAGAACUUCUUAUUUUAAUUGGAUAGGAGAAUAUAUAUCAAUUUUAUUUUUAAUAAAAAUGUGGGAUUUUGAGAUUAUGCACUUGAUUUUUUUUUAUAAAUAUUGUUUUAAACCUAAAAUAAAAUUAAAUGAGGCCAUUGUGAUGAUAUCGUAUAAUCAGAUCGCUAGCUAAUGGGAACACCCAUAAUUUGAGGCAAUAUUGUGAGAUAGAAACGGUCUCUCCCUACACUCAAGCUCUUCCUUCCAUGCCUAAUAACUGAAGCUUUCCAUUUGUGACAUGGGACACUACUAUUAUUUCGGGUCACCAGAUGACCAUUUCUUAACCCUUUCCAUGUUCCAACAACCAAGGACCACGACCACUUCAAAAACCUACCCGCCCCCUUACACUCUCUUUUAGCCUUUGCAUCCUUCCUUCAUUUUUGAUUUUUUUUUCAACAAAAUCAAAAACCAAAAGUGGACCAAUAGUUGCAGACACAUCAUGUCUUUCCCAUGGCGUCCUUUGAUUUCAUGACUCUUUUCUUCUGUCUUCUUAUCCACAGACAUUGAUCAUUAUUAUUAUUAUUCUCGUUAGCUGUCUCUCCUCGACAACGCUUUGAUGUUUGGUACUGCAUUUUGAUGUUGUGUUGGAUGAGCAGUUGAUGUCUUUGGCCGUUGGAGCUGGUCCAAGUUCCAGUAAUAUGGAUGACAAAGCGGGCUCUGCUGAAAAAACGACCACCAACCACCGUCCAGAGAGCGAUGAUGAUAACGAAGAGGAGAAUCGCAAUUUGCAUUUGGGUCCUCAGUACACUCUCAAAGAACAGCUUGAAAAAGAUAAGGUUAAAUCUUCUUUUUUUUUUUUUUUUUGGUUUACACACACACAUAUCCAUUACAUUUUACAUGCAUGCAUGAAUGCCUAUAAUUUUACUAUCAUUAUUCUAUGUUGGUGAUCGUUGCGUGAGUGUAGGAUGAUGAGAGCUUAAGGAAAUGGAAAGAACAGCUUCUUGGAGGUGUGGAUAUUAACAACAUUGGAGGUACUUAUUAUGUUUAGUUAGAUUGUGUGUAUAUAUAUAUGAGCUAAUUUUAAAGAAUUUGCAGAAUUUGACAUGGAAAUAAUGGUCUCCAUUUUAUUACAGAAACACUUGAACCGGAAGUGAAGUUCCUUAGUGUGGCAAUCGUGUCACCAGAUAGGGAAGACAUAGUUCUUUCAAUCCCUGCAGAUGGAAAGCCCGAGGGUUUAUGGUUUACACUGAAAGAAGCUAGCCAUUAUCGCUUGAAGUUCUCUUUCCAAGUUAGCAACAACAUUGUAUCUGGUCUCAGGUACACCAACACUGUCUGGAAAACUGGCGUCAAAGGUAAACAUUAAUUCUAAACCCUCUCAAUAAGUAAUAAUAAUUCACCCCCCAAAACUGUUUCCAACAUAAUAAAAUUCAAUCCUUUUCUUUUGGGGUUUCAGUUGACAGCACAAAAGAUAUGAUUGGAACUUUUAGUCCUCAGUUAGAGCCUUAUACACAUGAAAUGCCCGAAGAGACAGCCCCUUCUGGUUUUUUGGCUAGAGGAUCAUACACUGCAAAAUCAAAGGUUUGUAUGAUAACAUACUUUUAUCCGACAUUGAUUAUGUCUAAAUUCGAGUGACAUAGUAUGUUGUAAUGGUUUCAGUUCCUUGAUGAUGAUAACAAGUGCUACUUGGAGAUCAACUAUACAUUUGAUAUCCGAAAAGAUUGGGCUGCUACUGAAUAAUAGAUCAGCUCCAAGAACCCUUCAUUCAAUGCUUCAUGUUCUUAUUAUGCUUAUAUAUAUAUAUAUAUAUUCACUUUCAGACAAUUUUCAAGCAGCUAGUUUUUUCCCAAAAUAAACGCAAGUGAUGAGAGAUGACAAGAUUUUCACUUGAUUAGCAUUUUUUGGUAGGGACAUUUUGAUAAUUAAUGAUGUCUAGAACUUUGGAUGUUGUUCAUGUUCUGUUCUUGCAUUCCAUCUAUGUGCAUAUAUAAGAAAUGAGUGAUCAGUCAUUGAUUUUUUCUUUUUGUCUUGUUUUAUAUCAUCAAACUGCUCUCUCUUUUUUUUUUUAUUACUCAUCAACAUGAUAUACUUCAACCCAAACUAAAUCUCAAUUAAAAUUUCAUUCAAUUAAAAUUUAAAAAUACAAAGAAAACCUACUUUGCCAUUAUCCUAAUAAAAAGAGAUAGGGAUGACGUGGAAUCAUAAUUUCAUACAAUCCAUUCUUUGAUCCCUAUAUAUACUAUCAAGUCAGAUAAAUGUUAUAAUUGAAAUAAAUACAAUAAUUAAUAUCUAUUUAACAUUUAAUUUAUGUUUUUAUUAAAUAAUUCAAUUAGAAAGAAAUCCAUAAAUCACACCCAUCUUGUCAAUUUUUAUGUUAGUAUUUUUUUGAAACAAAAUCUUUAAGGCGUAAAUUUUGUUGAUAUUGCAGAAGUAUGAUAACUCAUAUGAAUGACGAUCUAUUUGAAGCAACAUAUUUUAAAAAUUAGAUUAGAUCGGAUCAAGCAAUCUAAUCCUUUGAAAUAAAGAAUUUAGAUUGGGACUGCAUUGAAGACUUAUAUCGAACAAUUCUAUUUUAUCUUGGAUUUUAUUAAUAUAUUGGGUAUGUUAUUUUAAUUGCAAUUUUUUAAAGAAAAUUUAUUGUAAUUGAUCUACUAUUUUAACAAAUCUCAAAGUCUUAUAUAUUUGAAGAAAUUUGUAUGAGUUUUGUAUUGAAAGUUUAUAACACUUAUUCAUUGAGAAACUUGUUAUGGAAGGUGCAUUGAGAAUAUAAACAAGUUUAUUGUUUGGUUCACAGUUUAAGCUUUCAUGAGAAAACUUUAGAAGUGAGUGAUCUAGAUUUAGAUAUAAAAGUGAAGUUUAUAUAUCAAGCUGUGAUAGGACUUAGAUCCAUGGCGGUUGGUUUCGUUCCGGUACCAAUUGUACCAGUUGAUAUACUAUAUCAAGCUGUGAUAGGUCUUAGAUCCAUGGCGGUUGGUUUCGUUCCGGUACCAGUUGUACCAGUUGAUAUACUCCGUUUCGAACGUAAACUGGAGCAAUAUAAUAUAUGAUUCAUUAUGUCUCAAAGUUUGGCCUAUUUCACCUGUACUGACAUAUUCCGACCUGUUUUGUCUGUUGCGACCGAAAAAGACGAACUGGCUACGGUAAGAGAAAAGAAAAAGAAGGAAGAAGAGAGAAAAGAGAAUAAAAAAAACAAAAUUAAAAUCUCAUAUGGAAAAACAAAACAUCUCGGCAGAUAAGUUUUGGGAUUUUACAAGCUUAAAAAUAAUAUUAAUUUAAUCUACAAAUUUAAUUUAAAUAAGAAUUAUAUUAUCUUUUAAUAUAUAUAUUGAUAAUAACUAAAAUUGUUAAUAAAUGAAUAAAUAAAAUUUAUUUUUAUAAAAAAUAUUAUUUUAUUUAUUAUUAGUAAUAAAUAAUAGUAUGAUACCUUUCAAAAAAUAGUAUUAUAUGAUAUAUUUACUAGUACAUAUAAAAUUAAACUAAUAAUUAUACAAAAAAUAAAGGUAAAUACAGAACGGUAUACCAAAACAUACUGGUAUUAAUAUGUAUCAGUAUCAAUAGAAAAACGGUACAUCUACCAUACGGUACUGACUACCUUUCUUAAACCACUUGUUGUAUUAGGAUUAAAGACAGUGUGUAACACCCCAAACCCGGCCCAGACGUUAUGACCGGAUCCGACAUGCCACAUCGAAGCGUUCAAAACAUUUUAUAUUGUUGAUCCAGAAAAAACUUACUUAGUGUUUUAAAAGAUAAUUUCAUUAUAGGUUAAAGUGAAUGGAAGUUGUGCACCAGGUAGGAAACCGGAAAAGAGGUGGUGAGUCCAUCGGACUGCUUAAGUACCAAGCUCCCUUCGGAUCCAAUCCUAGACAUGCAUACCGCUAUUGCCACACCUUAACGUCAUGGAUAUUUCUAGGAAACUGAUUUUGAUUAAGUCAUUUUUAGGAAAAGUGAUUAAUUUUGGAAAAUACUUUCAUUGCGGAAGCUUUGCUUGUUGUCGUAUUAUUUUGAAAUCAAUUGUUGUUUUUGAAAACGCGCCCUAAAGCUUUCCAACUUCAACAGUUAAAAUAAGUAAUACUUAUCUUAGUAACACAUAUUAACACCAUAAAAAAUAAUUAAGCGGCCUUAUUACAUUUAAAAACCUAAAACUUCAAACGUAAAAAAAAGGAUGUCCAGUUCACCAGAAGAAAAUCAAACUUUCAGAACGGGUGGCCACUCCGAAUUCCCUCACAGCUCCAAGCCCACUAUGGUUGGGGAUUACCUGCGUGGAUGAAAAUAAAAGGGGUGAGUUUGGGGAAACUCAGUGUGUAAGGAAAACCCAUUCAAAACCCAAGUCAGCUCAAGCCCAUUCAGGUAACAGUGAUACUGGGCCAGAGCCCUUUUCAAAUUACAAUAAACUGGGCCUUAGCCCCUUAUUCAGAUAACAGUAUGGCCCAUAGGCCCAUUUCAAAAUACAUGCAACAUCAGUAAACAUAUGCAAGCCCAUUUGGGGAGACUACUCAAUCCACCAACCACUACACUCCACCCAUACCAGCCAUACACUCCAUGUGGGGAAUAGCUCAACCCACCCAGCCCAACACUCCACAGUUGCAGCCUUGCUGCUCAGUUAACAGUAAGUUGAGGCAAAGCCCCUUAUUCAGAUAACAGUAUGGCCCAUAGGCCCAUUUCAAAAUACAUGCAACAUCAGUAAACAUAUGCAAGCCCAUUUGGGGAGACUACUCAACCCACCAACCACUACACUCCACCCAUACCAGCCAUACACUCCAUGUGGGGAAUAGCUCAACCCACCCAGCCCAACACUCCACAGUUGCAGCCUUGCUGCUCAGUUAACAGUAAAUUGAGGCAAAGCCUCCAGUACGUGGACAAGCCAUUUUUAGUACUUCCUCCGUCAAUAUCCCAAUCCCAUGCAUCAGAUAAUAACAACAUGGCAUGCAGUAAAUAACAACAGUCAAACAUGCAUUUAAGUCAAUUUAACCCUAGGGGUAUUUCGGUAAUUUAUCUCCUAGGGGUAAAACUGUAAAUUUUCCACUUUUAAAGGUAUUUCAGUAAUUUAUCUAUUUUAGGGUUUUUCAUGCAUAUUUCUACCUUUCACGUACUACAGAAUCACGUACCGAGGGUUCUUACCAAAUUGGGCCCGUUGGCCCAUCAUUCCAAUUUUGGCCCAUUAAGCCCAAAAAUAUCGAGGGCACAGAAAUCAUGCACUUUGUAGUCCAAAUUUUGCAGCUUACCAAAAACAUUAAUCGAUUUACCUCAGGAGCAUUCGCACACUCGCAAAUCUACAAAAUACCGGUUUUUGGCAUUUCAGCUUUUCGACUUUUGCCGAUCCAGACUAAGAAAGAGGGUGUUAGUUACACACCUGUUUGCGAUGAUAUGCUGACGAGAUCCACACACGAACUGCCUACAAUUGGAUUACUAACACGUUAAUCUAACUAUUCAAAUACGAACUACGUAUUAACCCCUUACAAUAUUCGGCCAACCACACCUACAGAUCAUAGUAAGCUUAUAAGAAAUCAAUAAGCAACUUAUUAACAAUUUUUUGUCAAUGUUUACCACAUAAUCAUAAUUUCACUGCAAGCUGUCUUCCUGAGCAACAGUUACUAAAUCAUUUAUAACUGGAGCUACGAAACUCCAAAUCAAGUGCCAUUAAUUUUCCCUGAAAAUAGACUCAUAUAUCUUAUAUCCAUAAAAUUUUCAGAAUUUUUGGUUUGGCCAAUCAAUACCAGAUUUUUCUUAAAGUUUCCCAUGUUUCACUAUUUGACUAAUCUGACCACUCUUCAUUACGAAUCAAAUUUCUCAUUGUACAGAAUUCAAAAUAUGUUCUAGUUUAUUUCAUUUGAAACUAGACUCAUUAAGCUUUAAUUACAUAAUUUAUUCACCGUCUAACUCAUCUCUCACAAUCUAUGGUGAUUUUCCAAAGUCACGUUACUGCUGCUGUCCCAAGCAGAUUUAUUACCAAAUCACUCUUUCACACAUAACUUGCAUGCAUGUUAUUUAAACAUGUAUAUCACCAAUCAAUCAUCACAUAUCUAUGAUUUUACUUAAGUAUAAUCUCCAUUUCAUCAUUUUAAAGCACAACAUGUUAGCCGAUUUUUCCCUUUAACAUUUAAGGCACAUGCAUGCUCAUUUGUUUGGCUCAACUUCACCUAUUUUCCAUUUUUCAUCAAAAGAACAUGAAACAACAACCAUUUCCUUCAUUUUAAUUCAUGACUAAAUGCUCACAACACAACUAAAAACCAAAAUAUGCUUCAAGAGUUAAGGUAGAAUCAAGAAGAACUCAUGAACAUCAAAUAGAAGCAAACUACCAUGAACUUACCUUUAAUUUUCUUCCCCAAGUGACCGAACAUUCAAGAGCUUUCUCCUCUCCUUUCUCUUCUCUAACUUUAGGCUAUGAUGAACAAAGAUGGACAAAACUUUGUUCUUUUCACCCCUUUUUCUUUUAAUAAAAUUUCAUAUUUCAUCCAUUUAAUUCUUUAAUACAAAAGACAUGAAAUUCCAAUCAUGGAACAUUUACCUAACCCAUUAUCAUGAAACAUUUACCUAACCCAUUAUCAUGGAACAUUUACCUAACCCAUUGUCAUGGAACAUUUACCUAACCCAUUAUCAAUUUGUAUCAAUUUGUACCAUAAAUUAUGGAUAUCAAGUGCACAUUUUGUCUACAACAACAUGAUGGCUGGCCACUUCAUGUAAAAUGGGAGGUUUGUCAUGCAAAUCCUCCUAUUUUACACUCCUAUUUAUUUGGCCACUUCAAUUUAGCCUAUAGCAUUUUCAAACAUUUUCACAUAGGUUCUAUUUCAUAAUUUCACCCCCUUUUUCUUAUGGAACAAAAAUUAACUAAAAUUGACGGGUUCUAUCUUAAGCUUGGGCCUUCUAGAGGCCCACUAACAUAAUUAAAUCUAUGCCAACAUUCACAGAAUUCCCGAAAAUUGGGGCGUUACAUAGUGAAUUAUCUCUCUGAGUUAAGCUGUAAAUAUAAAAAAAUCAAAUCGCGUAAACAACUCAAUUAUGUUUUUCUUAUUUCAAAUAUAUAUUCAUAUAUAAUCUUUUAUGUUAAAACUUAUAGCAAAUAAUUACAAAUAAAAUAAGUUAAACAAAAUAAAGUGCUAGCUCUAGUGGUCACUGAAAGUGGAACGAGAACAAAUAAAAACUUUAAUUACUACAUGUAAUUAAAUAACAUGUGCCUUAGUAAAGAAAAACUUUGCUAACUAUGAGGUAUGCUAUUGUGGCUGCUCACCUCAUCUUUUAAUUAGGGUGAGCAAAAUUUGUUUUAAUUUGAAAAAUUAGAUAAAAAAAUUCAAAUUUUAAAUUAAAUAGUUUGAGUUAUUCAAGUUAUUCAGAUCAAUUCGAAUAAAAAAUAAAAUUGUUCAGUUCAACUUGAAUAUGAAUUACACAAUUCAAGUUAUUCGAAAAUUCGAAUAAGAAAAGACAAAACUACGUCGUUUUGAUAAAUGUUUAUCCAUUAAGUUAAAAGUUAAAAAUCAUUAUGUUGUUUAUGUAGUUAAAUAAUCUUCUACUUCGUCUACUAGUUAAACAAUCGGUCUAUAUAAACGCAACAUUGAGUAUAAAUAAUAGAAUUCGUUAACUCAUCUCGAAAUUUUUUCAUUCGAUUCGAUUUGAAAAAAAAUUCAAAUUUAGUUCAGUUGCUAAAAUAAGAUUCACCAACUCGACUAACUCGAAAUUUUUUUACUUGAUUUGACUCAACUUGAUCGAAUACUCACCCCCUACUCUUAACCAUGUCAUUUGAGGUUUGAUUCCCGCUUAUAAGAAUGAAACACAUUUCAUGAUUAACCAUUUAUCUCUUUAAAAAACACUCGUAAUAAAUAAAUUAAUCAUUAUUAUCGACAAUAAAUACCCUAUUUAUGAAAACAAACUCGAGCCUUGAUAAAGAAUUAAAGUGAUUGAGUAUACUGUGGUUCAAAUGAAAGACAAUUGCAGAAGCAAAGCCUUUGUGUUUGGGCUGCCUUAAUUGUUUCUUAGGAAAGCAGAAAUGUAUAUACAUGUGUGUGAUAGAGGGCAUGUCAUUGAAAAAGAUAUAUUAUAGCACCCAAAGGCAUCCCACGCAUUUCACAAGUAUUGAUAUCAUUGUGGAGCGCACAAGUGUCGUUUUAGUUUUUACUCAUCAAUAAAUUUACAUGAUAUUAUAAAUAUGAUAAUAUAUUUAUUUUAAAAGAUUUUAAAAAUAAUAAUAUUUAAUAUUUAACUUAACGGAUUUAAUUAUUAUUAUUUAGAUAAAAUUAAAAUUUUAAAAUUUUAAAAAAUAUAAUAAUUAAAAAUAACAUAUCUUUCGAGUUAAAUGAGACCAUUUGGGUUUAACAAAUUUGUAAAAAUAAUUUAGUUUAAUUAAUAAAUUUAUAUAAAAUUUAUAUUUUGUUCAACACGUUGCAUCUUUGAAUUUAGAUAAAAACAAUAGAAAAAUUAGAAUAUAAUUCAACUUGAUUCAAUUCAUAAAUACAAUUACUUUAUUGUACUAUUUUUUGGAUAUGGAUUAGUUGUGAAAUGUAACCAUUUAUAUGAAAAUAUUAGUUUGCAGGAAGAGAGUGUGGAUAAUCAAAUUAAUUAGUUAGAUAACCUAUGGGUGCUAAUUAAAUUAUAAUCCAAGGAUUUUGAUUAAUUUGUGCAAAAAUUAAAUCAAAUGUUAAGACAACGAGUUUGAUGUUAAUCUUGCACCUAAUUUCUCUUUUCAUUUCUUAUUUUCCACUCCAAUAUUUUGCUUCUUUUUUCCAUUAAGCUUUAUUUUGAGUUUUCUUCUUUUAAUUAAUUUUUUUAAAAAAAUUAUAAAAGUUAAUUUAAAUAUAUUAAUUAGUUAUUGGGGUAGUGACAAAUGACCGGUGCUUAAGUCUUUAUUAACAUAAGGAAUAAAUUAAAAAAAUUUCAUUUAUAUCUAUUUUAUUUUAGUACAAUACAUUAAACACUCAAAUAUUUAUUACAUGCAUUCAAAUUCAACUAAACACUUAUUUCUUUUGAACAAUCUCAUUUUUUAUCAUAUCUGCUCUUUUUGACACAAUGCCUAAAACUACUCAAAGUCCAUAAUAAGAGGAUAAUGCGCUUCUGCACACUCAAAACCACGUCUUUCUACAUUAACUACAAUACUCAUGCCAAUCAAACUAAAACUCAACCGGCAAUAUAACUAAUCACUUAAGAAGGUGCAAAUAAAAAAAUUCCCUAGUUUAGAUCUCAAUCGUUUUUAAACUUUUUUUUAUUUACAUGUGCUAUUUGUAUAGUAUUAAAGCAUUAAACAAUUUCUUAAACCAUAUAGAAACAUUCAAUAAUAUUUAAAUUAAUUGUGAAUGGAAUUGGAUAAUAGAUUUGUACAAGUCUAGGGAUCAGUCUCAAAACAGGUGGAGUCCACUCUCCACUCUUUGAUUUUGGUUUAAGCUUUUAGAUCAUGAUAAUCAGAUGAAAGUAAAAUUUAUUUAUGUUUAAUACAUGGUGAAUAUGUAUAUGAAUCUAUUAAAGAAAUUUUUGAAAACCUUAAAAUUUUGAUGUAAAUGAGAUAUUUAUAUUCAUAAGUUAUUUGAGUUUGAUUAAAAACACUCAAACUCGAUUGAUAAUUAUUGAGACGAGUUCGAGCAUGUCAACUCUCAAGAUAUUUGUCGAAUUGAAUUUGAGCACUGUAAUACUUGAUUUGAAUAACUUGUGAACUUAACCAAACUUUUUAUUUGAAUAUCUUUUAUAUUAUAAAGUUACAAUCUUACCCUUAAGUAUGAACAAGCUUGAUUGAGCUUUAAUUCAAGAAUGAGUAUGGAAAUUGAUAAAUGAGCUUAUUCGAGUUUGAUUAUGUCUUGAAUUGAGCUUGAAUAUAAAAUUCGACAUUCGAUGGAGCUCAAGUCGAGUAUUGAGACCCAAAUUUUUAGUUGAGCUUGAGCUUGUCAAUAUUAAGGUUUAACUCAACUCGAUUACACCCUUAAGCGUGGUCAGACAAUAGGUAAAGACAUUGGCUCCUCUUGAUUAAAUGAUAUAUAUACUAUUUUUUCUAGUCUCAUUUAAAAUUAAUAUUGCAAUUUAAUCCUUUUUAACCUUUUACUCAAAUGGAAAAAAAUAUUAAGUCAAUUUAAAUAAUUUUACCCCAAAAUUUAUAGUUUUAACCCUUGAAUUUUUAAAAAUUUUCUCAAUCUUCCAACACAAAAUUCCUAGGUUUGCCAUUUCUCUUAACCCUAGACCGCUAACUAAUUAUACUCUUCAUAAGACAUUAUACGUAUUAUUCCACAUGAACAUAUAAAUUUUAAAAAACUAUAAUAAUAUUGGUGUCAACUAAACUUAUAACCCAUAAACUUUGUUAGUGACAAUUACACUGUUCAUAUACAAUUCUAGUUGCAACUCAAUUUGCCAUAUUUGAACGGAACCUUUUGAUUAAAAAAAACUUUGAAUUUUUUAAUGCGCAUACUUGGAGGAUUUCUAGCAAUACUAUAUUGAAUUAAACUGUGAAUAAAAUCAAGCCAAGCAAAGAUUCUAUGAAUACUUUCAAGGGUCAAAGUUUACUUAUUUAAAGAGAUUUGAAUUCUAAAAAAAUAUCCGCUAAUUCUAUUUCAUAUUAAAGAUUUUAUCGAGCCAACUUUAAAGAGAUAGAUCUUCACGUCAAUUAUAAUGGUCGUUAUAAUUUUAUGUCAAGAUUGAAAACGAUUAUUUUGUUCGUGUAAGGAACUUACUUUAAUAAAUAUUUUAUUGUAAAUCAACGAUUUUCUAACUUUUCUAGGGAAAAAGUAUCGGUGAUUGAGUUGAAAAUAAAUCAUAUUAUGUACAAAUUAAUUUAUAAUGAAUUACUCUUUAAUUUCCAUAACUAUAAUUUUUUUUCGGAACUGUAUAACCAAAUUACGGUAUCCUAUUGAAAAGGAUACGGAGAAGUGUCCCAAAGCAUUAGAAAACUUCUCAAGUAGAAAUGUGAAUAAGAAAGGCUACCAUAUAUGGUCCUUUUUCCUUGAAUGAUUGUUAAGCAAAUGCUUUCAUUAUUUUUAUUGUUAUUUUCACAAACAAGUAUCAUCCCCAUCUCAUUCAAUCCACAAUAAUAAAGACAAUUAAGGGUGAGUGUGAUCGAAUUGAGUGAAAAAUUUUGAGUUAAUUGAAUUGACGAGUCCUAUUUUAUCAUUCUAGCUCGAUUUAAAAUUUUUUCGAAAUGAAAUUUGAGUUAAGUCGAAUCGAAUGAAAUGUUCGAGUUAAAUUAAAACAUUAAACAUGUCGAAUUAAAAUAUUGUUACAAUAUAACUAAUUCAAUGUUGAAGCACAUAAAUUUGAAACCAUAUAUAUUUGAAAACUUUUUCAAAGAAAAAUAAAAAAUUACUUUAGUAUGAUAAACUUAAAAAAUUAAUUAAUUAAUUUAAGUUUCAAAAAUUAUUAUUCUAGAAAAUUUAUUUUUUAACUUUUUUAUAUAUUUUUUAGAAUUUUUUUCUGAAAUUUUUAUAAUUUUUUAAAAAAUAUAAAUUUUGGAAUUUUUAUAAAUAUUUUAAAAUUUUAAAAUUAUUUUGAAUUAUUUUAUAAUUUUUGUUAAAGAGAGAGACCAAUUUACUUAUUUUCAAACUUGACAAUGACCAAAAGGGUAUUUAUGCCAAUCUAUUAUUCAAAUUAUUCGAAUUGUAAAAUUCAACUCGACUUGAAUAACUCGAUUCAAUUAACUCAAAAUUCAAAAGAAAAUUUAAUUUUUUCAAAUCAAAUAAAAUUUUACCCACCCCUAAAACACCCAUAUCUAAUCCUAUAUAUGGUUUUCAAAUAUUUUCUUUUAAUCAUGGUUAGUUUUUUUGUUAAUUUUCUAUUCCUACUUUUUACCUUAAACUUCACAUCCAUUUAAUCACCAACAAUUGGUAUAACCCCACACGUUGUUUUCUUUCUGUUUAUAUCUUACAACUUACAACCAAAACAUCCACACUACACACACAUAUAUAUAUUCAUUCCAAUCUGCUAAAUUGGUAUCCAAAACUACUCAACUUUCUCUCUGAAUUCCUACAAGUUAGGUUAGUGUUUUCCAUUUGCAUUUUUGUGUUAAAAGUUGUUUCUCUUGAGAGUUCUAAAUGCAUGUCUAUGUUUUGAAAUGGGGUUUACUUUUUGUCUUUUGUUCAUAAUGUAAAUUUAUUGGAUAUUUUGCUGUUUAUCUGCAAUGUAAUUGCCAAUGAUUUGAUUCUUGUAGGAGUUUGGAGAGUGGUCACCGCUGAAGCAAAACAAUUUUCUUGGGGGAAAAGAAAAUGGAGUUUUCCAUGAUUUUUAUGAUUAGCUUCUCUGUAUUGAUUUUGUGCUCCUCACUGGCAUAUGGUCAAGUUGCAAUGAGCACAAGCCCGACACCGUCACCCUCACCAGCACCGGCACCGACACCGGCAUACACAAAUAUCAAAGACUUACUCUCUGUGGCAGGUCCAUAUCACAAGUUCCUGGGCUACCUCGAGUCGACUAAAUUAAUCGACACGUUCCAAAUCCAAGCCAACAACACGGUUGAAGGCAUUACGAUUUUCGUACCGAAAGACAGCGCAUUCAAGGCUCUUAAGAAGCCUUCAUUGUCAAAUCUAACUGAUGAUCAGUUCAAAUCAGUGCUCCUUUACCAUGCCUUGCCACGAUACUAUGCCCUUGCGGACUUCAAUGACCUAAGUGAGAAAGGCCUUAUUAGUACACUUGCUGGUGGCCAAUACACUUUGCAAUUCAACGAUGAGUCUGGUACCGUCCGCCUCGAUUCCGGAUGGAGCAAAACAAAAGUCACUAGCGCAGUACAUACGUCCAAGCCAGUCGCAGUCUAUCAAAUCGAUAAGGUCCUUCUUCCGGAGGCCAUUUUCGGGACCGACAUACCUCCGACACCUGCACCUGCCCCGGCUCUUGGUAUUGGCCCAUCAGCUGACACUCCAUCAGCAGCAAAAUCCGAAGAAACUGGUUCCUCAUCAAAGCCUUCGUUUUCGGGUUCAUCAUCUCCUAGGAUCAUGAUGAACUCGGGCAUUUGGACUCAGCUGGUUUUGGCAUUCUUAGGUGGAUGGCUGGUUCUCUUUUUCUGAGACGUUAUAAUUUUAUGUUGAAAGGGGGGCACAUAUGGGGUUCUCAAUUUUCUGUGAUUUUUAGACCCCAUUUUCUUUCAUAUAUAUGUUACUGUGUGUUAUUAUAAAAAGAAUGUUAUUGUGUGUUAAGAAUAUGGUUGUGUUAUAAUUACCAUUUCAAUUUUAAUGGAGUUUUGCCUUAAAUCUCUGUUUUUCACUUGUUCAUACUUGUUUCUAAGUUUGGCCCCAUCUAUAACUAUUUGGCGAGUGAGAGCUUAGGAAAGAAAACUCCUAGCAGGAGGCGAAGCAGAAAAAACUUUUAGAAAAUUAAAUUAUCAAUUUUUUUUUAAGGUUAAAAUGUAACC
rnacentral:lncRNA from 1 species